rnacentral:lncRNA from 1 species
UACCUUGACAAGGCUUUGAUACCAUGUAGAUUGAAAAAUUAAGUUCAAUACACUCAAGUGAGCAAAGCUCACAUUGUUUUUGAUUUCUUCUAGAGUAUAGAGGAAUAUCUCACUUAGGUUAAACUAUACUUUGACAAGGCUUUGAUACCAUGUAGAUUGAAAAAUUAAGUUCAAUACACUCAAGUGAGCAAAGCUCACAUUGUUUUUGAUUUCUUCUAGAGUAUAGAGGAAUAUCUCACCUAGGUUAAACUAUACCUUGACAAGGCUUUGAUACCAUGUAGAUUGAAAAAUUAAGUUCAAUACACUCAAGUGAGCAAAGCUCAACUACAUUUAUUCAAAUACAAUGCCAUUGAUGUACAUGUCAAUGGCUUAACUCUAAACUGACCAUCUAUACUGGACUUAGUGGGUGGAAUAAUGUGGGACAAGUAUUGUAGAUGAAGUGAUUUAUUGUGGAUGAAUUGAUAUGGGAUAAAUAUUGUGCGUGAGGUGAUGUGGAGCAUUCAGGGUGACGUUUGGGAGUUUUAUCAACAGUAUUGGAUGACCACGCAGAUGUGAUAAUUCUGCAAACAAUGAAAAUCAGGAACUCCACAGAAUGUGAUGUCCGCAACAAUCCUCCUCCGCCGCAACAGCCACACGAGCUGGACCUGUUUCAACCUAUGAAUAAAUUCCGGUGUUCAACGAUGAGUUAAGUGAUUGACACACUGAUGUCCAUGGUAGCAAAUUGCUUCAAUGAUUCACUACAGAAUUUGCAAGAAACUUGCAACGAUCUUCGGCCAGCUGCGGCAGUCUUUCAAGAGAUCUGUGAACCCUACUCAGAAUCUAGGUGAUACAAGAACCACCGCGGGAAGAUGAUGAGCCAUUGGGAAAUUAGAAGGCUAUUACGUACUGCAAUACUAAUCGCGUAACAGAGAGGAACACUUCUAGCAAGAAAUAUGUCGUCAAACGCAUUGCGGUUGUGAAAACACCUAGAACAAUUAAAGAAAUACAAAGGACAAGCCACUAAAUAUUGGAUAUGUGUAUUGAUGGAGGGUGGCAUUGCUAAAAUGCGGUCGUGGAACAAGGGACGCCAAAAACCAACAAAUGUAUAGCACUGAUAAAUUGACUGCAUCGCCUCGACCUACUGGCUGCUGAUCCUAAUUAAGAGCUGGCCAGCAGCAACCUCUAUGAUCAAACUGAAGCUGUUGAAUCUCCUCAUCCCAAUGUUUGAAGCUUUGACGUGGGCAAGCUUAGAGUCGGUGACCAGCGUUCUUGGGAGCAGACAUGCUAAUGCGCUGGCCAAAUCCAUUUUCUUCAACAGUAAGCGAUCAGAGAGGCUUCCCAAUUGGCAGCAGCUCGGGAUGAGAGUUAAAAGGCGUCACGGAUAUAAAAAUCGAGGGGAUGGUUAUUUUUCUGCUGUCUUGCUUCAGACCGUCAGCUGCAGCAGUAAAUUGCACUACAAAACAGUCAGAAUGUUGUGGACCAUGGAGCUAAAUCAGCAUGCAGUUUGUGACGAAUCUGUAGUCCUGAUCACAACAAGCGCACGAUGCCUCUCCGUCGGGCGCACAACCUAAACAUGCGGAGGACGCAAGAUGACUGCAGCGGAGCUUUUGGUAAUUGUGACACAAUACGUGUUACGAAUUCUGAGCCGAAACGUUAGAACUUCGUCUUACAUGAUCGUUUUGGCUGAAAUCUCAGGCGAGUGCAGCACCACGCUUCACUGCAUCCCUCCGUCAGAGCUCAUACAUAGAAGAUACGAUGUGAGCAGGGGUGGUUAAUUGGGAGUUAACUCCCAUGAGAGGCUGUCC